rnacentral:rRNA from 1 species
GGCAGACGGGUGAGUAACGCGUGGGAAUCUACCCAAUACUACGGAAUAGCUCCGGGAAACUGGAAUUAAUACCGUAUGUGCCCUACGGGGGAAAGAUUUAUCGGUAUUGGAUGAGCCCGCGUUGGAUUAGCUAGUUGGUGAGGUAAUGGCCCACCAAGGCGACGAUCCAUAGCUGGUCUGAGAGGAUGAUCAGCCACACUGGGACUGAGACACGGCCCAGACUCAAUACGGGAGGCAGCAGUGGGGAAUAUUGGACAAUGGGCGCAAGCCUGAUCCAGCCAUGCCGCGUGAGUGAUGAAGGCCUUAGGGUUGUAAAGCUCUUUCAGUGGGGAAGAUAAUGACGGUACCCACAGAAGAAGCCCCGGCUAACUUCGUGCCAGCCGCCGCGG